rnacentral:rRNA from 1 species
UGGGGAAUCUUGGACAAUGGGGGCAACCCUGAUCCAGCCAUGCCGCGUGAGUGAUGAAGGCCUUAGGGUCGUAAAGCUCUUUCGCCUGUGAAGAUAAUGACGGUAGCAGGUAAAGAAACCCCGGCUAACUCCGUGCCAGCAGCCGCGGUAAUACGGAGGGGGUUAGCGUUGUUCGGAAUUACUGGGCGUAAAGCGCACGUAGGCGGACCAGAAAGUUGGGGGUGAAAUCCCGGGGGCUCAACCCCGGAACUGCCUCCAAAACUAUUGGUCUAGAGUUCGAGAGAGGUGAGUGGAAUUCCAAGUGUAGAGGUGAAAUUCGUAGAUAUUUGGAGGAACACCAGUGGCGAAGGCGGCUCACUGGCUCGAUACUGACGCUGAGGUGCGAAAAGUGUGGGGAGCAAAACAGGAUUAGAUACCCUGGUAGUCCACACCGUAAAACGAUGAAAUGCCAGUCGUCGGGUAGCAUGCUAUUCGGUGACACACCUAACGGAUUAA